rnacentral:misc_RNA from 1 species
UACAGAGGUGGCAAGCGUUGUUCGGAAUUACUGGGCGUAAAGGGCGCGUAGGCGGUUCGUUAAGUCCUGUGUGAAAUCCCCCGGCUCAACUGGGGAACUGCACAGGAAACUAGCGGGCUUGAGUUCGGGAGAGGGAGGCGGAAUUCCGGGUGUAGCGGUGAAAUGCGUAGAUAUCCGGAGGAACACCGGUGGCGAAGGCGGCUAGCUGGACCUAUACUGACGCUGAGAGACGAAAGCAUGGGGAUCAAACAGG